rnacentral:rRNA from 1 species
GACGAACGCUGGCGGCGUGCCUAACACAUGCAAGUCGAGCGGACCAACCCCGACUCUUCGGAGACGGGAUAGGUUAGCGGCGAACGGGUGAGUAACACGUGGGCAAUCUGCCCCGAAGAUCGGGAUAACUCCGGGAAACCGGGGCUAAUACCGGAUACCUUGCCACCACCGCAUGAUGGCGGCAAGAAAGGUUGCUUUGCUUCCGCUUCGGGAUGAGCCCGCGGCCCAUUAGCUUGUUGGUGAGGUAAAGGCUCACCAAGGCGACGAUGGGUAGCCGGCCUGAGAGGGUGUCCGGUCACACUGGGACUGAGAUACGGCCCAGACUCCUACGGGAGGCUG